rnacentral:rRNA from 1 species
CGGAAUCACUGGGCGUAAAGGGCGUGUAGGCGGUCCGCUAAGUCUGAUGUGAAAGCCCGGGGCUCACCCCCGGAAGGGCAUUGGAAACUGGCGGACUCGAGUCUCGGAGAGGAAGGUGGAAUUCCUGGUGUAGCGGUGAAAUGCGUAGAUAUCAGGAGGAAUACCGGUGGCGAAGGCGGCCUUCUGGACGAUGACUGACGCUGAGACGCGAAAGCGUGGGGAGCAAACAGG